UUGGAGGGCAAGUCUGGUGCCAGCAGCCGCGGUAAUUCCAGCUCCAAUAGCGUAUAUUAAAGUUGUUGCAGUUAAAAAGCUCGUAGUUGAAUUUCGGGAUUGACACAUCGGUCGUGCCUUAAGGGGUAUGAACUGGUGUAGUCAAUUUCUCACCUUCUGGAGAACCGCGAUGCCCUUAAUUGGGUGUCGCGGGGAACCAGGACCUUUGCUUUGAAAAAAUUAGAGUGUUUAAAGCAGGCAUUUUGCUUGAAUACAUUAGCAUGGAAUAAUAAAAUAGGACGGCAUGAUUCUAUUUUGUUGGUUUCUAGGAUCACCGUAAUGAUUAAUAGGGAUAGUUGGGGGCAUUAGUAUUCAAUUGUCAGAGGUGAAAUUCUUGGAUUUAUUGAAGACUAACUACUGCGAAAGCAUUUGCCAAGGAUGUUUUCAUUAAUCAAGAACGAAAGUUAGGGGAUCGAAGACGAUCAGAUACCGUCGUAGUCUUAUCCAUAAACUAUGCCGACUAGGAAUCAGACGAUGUUAAUUUUUUAAUGACUCGUUUGGCACCUUACGGGAAACCAAAGUGUUUGGGUUC
rnacentral:rRNA from 1 species